UUCAUCAUGGAGCACCUUAGCGGAAAAUUCACACUUUGUGUCCAAUCACAGUGCAGUGUCAGCGGUUACAGAUCGGCCGAUUUUCGAUUAUGACAAACUCA